GACAGAGGUGCCAAGCGUUAGGCGGAAUCACUGGGCUUAAAGCGUGUGUAGGCGGAUCGUUAAGUACCUUGUGAAAUCCCACGGCUCAACCGUGGAACUGCCGGGUAUACUGGCGGUCUUGAGCCACCUAGGGGCAACUGGAACAAGCGGUGGAGCGGUGAAAUGCGUAGAUAUCGCUUGGAACGCCAACGGUGAAAACAGGUUGCUGGGGGUGUGCUGACGCUGAGACACGAAAGCCAGGGGAGCGAACGGG
rnacentral:rRNA from 1 species